ensembl:Mt_tRNA
UAGGAUAUGGUGUAUUGGUUGCACGAGGAGUUUUGGUCUCUUUGGGUUAGGUUCAAGUCCUAUUAUUCUAG